UUUGAAGAACAGUAGAAUUUGGAUGGACCCAAAGAGAAAGAUAAGAUGUUACUAUGGAGAGACUCCACUCUAAGCACUAAUGUUGGACUUAAUCACGUGGUAAUUGCUGUUAAACAAGCACUCCCUGAGAGACAACAUCUCUCUUAUGAACAUCCCUUCAGAUGAACAAAACCAUCUCCUCCCCUCUUCUGAGGGAUUUGAAAAACAAAGCUUGCCUGUCUAUCUAAAGCAUAUUCUUCAGCUGUUGAGAAGAUUCAGAUGGAAAUGAGAGUGAACCCAGGAAAUAGGAGUUACAUUAUAAAUAUCUGAAUAAAUGAAGAAUUAUCAAAUAAAUUGAUGAAUGCAUCCAA